GGGCACUCUAGCGAGACUGCCGGUAAUAAACCGGAGGGAAGGUGGGGGAGUGACGUCAAAUCAUCAUGCCCCUUAUGACCUGGGCUACACACGUGCUACAAUGGUUGGUACAACGAGUUGCGAGUCGGUGACGGCGAGCUAAUCUCUUAAAGCCAAUCUCAGUUCGGAUUGUAGGCUGCAACUCGCCUACAUGAAGUCGGAAUCGCUAGUAAUCGCGGAUCAGCACGCCGCGGUGAAUACGUUCCCGGGCCUU
rnacentral:rRNA from 1 species